rnacentral:rRNA from 1 species
AUUGAACGCUGGCGGCAGGCCUAACACAUGCAAGUCGAACGGUAACAGAAAGCAGCUUGCUGCUUUGCUGACGAGUGGCGGACGGGUGAGUAAUGUCUGGGAAACUGCCUGAUGGAGGGGGAUAACUACUGGAAACGGUAGCUAAUACCGCAUAACGUCGCAAGACCAAAGAGGGGGACCUUCGGGCCUCUUGCCAUCGGAUGUGCCCAGAUGGGAUUAGCUAGUAGGUGGGGUAAAGGCUCACCUAGGCGACGAUCCCUAGCUGGUCUGAGAGGAUGACCAGCCACACUGGAACUGAGACACGGUCCAGACUCCUACGGGAGGCAGCAGUGGGGAAUAUUGCACAAUGGGCGCAAGCCUGAUGCAGCCAUGCCGCGUGUAUGAAGAAGGUCUUCGGGUUGUAAAGUACUUUCAGCGGGGAGGAAGGGAGUAAAGUUAAUACCUUUGCUCAUUGACGUUACCCGCAGAAGAAGCACCGGCUAACUCCGUG